rnacentral:rRNA from 1 species
UACAAAGGUCUCAAGCGUUGUUCGGAUUCAUUGGCGUAAAGGGUGCGUAGGCGGCGCGGUAAGUCGGGUGUGAAAUCUCGGGCUUAACUCCGAAACUGCAUUCGAUACUGCCGUGCUUGAGGACUGGAGAGGAGACUGGAAUUUACGGUGUAGCGGUGAAAAUGCGUAGAUAUCGUAAGGAAGACCAGUGGCGAAGGCGGGUCUCUGGACAGUUCCAGACGCUGAGGCACGAAGGUCAGGGGGAGCAAACGGG